rnacentral:rRNA from 1 species
ACGGCUCAGUAACACGUAGUCAACAUAACCAAAGGACGUGGAUAAACUCGGGAAACUGAGGCUAAACCGCGAUAGACCAUAAUGUCUGGAAUGAUUUAUGGUUCAAAUCUAUAUGGCCUCUGGAUUGGACUGCGGCCGAUCAGGCUGUUGGUGAGGUAAUGGCCCACCAAACCUGAAACCGGUACGGGCUCUGAGAGGAGAAGCCCGGAGAUGGGCACUGAGACAAGGGCCCAGGCCCUAUGGGGCGCAGCAGGCGCGAAACCUUUGCAAUAGGCGAAAGCCUGACAAGGUUACUCUGAGUGAUCUCCGCUAAGGAAAUCUUUUGACACCUCUAAAAAUGGUGUAGAAUAAGGGGUGGGCAAGCCUGGUGUCAGCCGCCGCGGUAAUACCAGCACCCCGAGUGGUCGGGACGAUUAUUGGGCCUAAAGCAUCCGUAGCCGGUUCUUUAAGUCCUCCGUUAAAUCCACCUGCUUAACAGAUGGGCUGCGGAGGAUACUAUAGAGCUAGGAGGCGGGAGAGGCAAGCGGUACUCAGUGGGUAGGGGUAAAAUCCGUUGAUCCAUUGAAGACCACCAGUGGCGAAGGCGGCUUGCCAGAACGCGCUCGACGGUGAGGGAUGAAAGCUGGGGGAGCAAACCGGAUUAGAUACCCGGGUAGUCCCAGCUGUAAACGAUGCAGACUCGGUGAUGAACAGGCUUCGUGCCUGUUCAGUGCCGCAGGGAAGCCGUUAAGUCUGCCGCCUGGGGAGUACGGUCGCAAGACUGAAACUUAAAGGAAUUGGCGGGGGAG